ACGGAGGGUGCAAGCGUUAUCCGGAUUUACUGGGUUUAAAGGGUGCGCAGGCGGAUAUGUAAGUCAGUGGUGAAAUCCCCGAGCUUAACUUGGGAACUGCCAUUGAUACUAUCAAUCUUGAAUACUGUGGAGGUCAGCGGAAUAUGUCAUGUAGCGGUGAAAUGCUUAGAUAUGACAUAGAACACCAAUUGCGAAGGCAGCUGGCUACACAAAUAUUGACACUGAGGCACGAAAGCGUGGGGAUCAAACAGGA
rnacentral:rRNA from 1 species